rnacentral:rRNA from 1 species
AUAGGAGGUCCCGCCUGCCCUGUGACCAAGUGUUUAACGGCCGCGGUAUUUUAACCGUGCGAAGGUAGCGCAAUCAAUUGUCUUUUAAAUGGAGACCUGUAUGAAUGGCAUAACGAGGGUUCAACUGUCUCUUUUUUCCGGUCAAUGAAACUGAUCUGCCCGUGCAGAAGCGGGCAUAUUCACACAAGACGAGAAGACCCUAUGGAGCUUUAGACACCAACCAACCACGAAAAGCGGCCCUAAUUGGAGCCCCAAACAACGUGAUUCUGGCAUAAGUGUCUUCGGUUGGGGCGACCACGGGAGAUAGCACAGCUCCCGAGUGGAUGGGGGACACCCUAAAACCCAGAGCCACAGCUCUAAGUCACAAAACAUUUGACCAAUAAUGAUCCGGCUUAAUGCCGACCAACGGACCAAGUUACCCUAGGGAUAACAGCGCAAUCCUCUCCCAGAGUCCAUAUCGACGAGGGGGUUUACGACCUCGAUGUUGGAUCAGGACAUCCUAAUGGUGCAGCCGCUAUUAAGGGUUCGUUUGUUCAACGAUUAAAGUCCUACGUGAUCUGAGUUCAGACCGGAGUAAUCCAGGUCAGUUUCUAUCUGUGA